CCUACGGGUGGCAGCAGUGAGGAAUAUUGGUCAAUGGACGAGAGUCUGAACCAGCCAAGUAGCGUGAAUGAUGACUGCCCUAUGGGUUUUAAACUUCGUUUAUAUGGGAAUAAAAUGUUCCACGUGUGUGAUUUUGUAUUUACCAUAUGAAUAAGGAUCGGCUAACUCCGUUCCAGCAGCCGCGGUAAUACGGAGGAUCCGAGCGUUAUCCGGAUUUAUUGGGUUGAAAGGGAGCGUAGGUGGAUUGUUAAGUUAGUUGUGAAAGUUUGCGGCUCAACCGUAAAAUUGCAGUUGAAACUGGCAGUCUUGAGUACAGUAGAGGUGGGCGGAAUUCGUGGUGUAGCGGUGAAAUGCUUAGAUAUCACGAAGAACUCCGAUUGCGAAGGCAGCUCACUGGACUGCAACUGACACUGAGGCUCGAAAGUGUGGGUAUCGAACAGGAGUAGAUACCCUAGUAGUC
rnacentral:rRNA from 1 species